UAUUGUUUCCCCAGUUGCUAGAGACUUUGACGGCUUGGUGUUGUUCCUGAUGGGUGCUUCUUAUGCUGCAGUUAAAGCUUUUCCAUAUAGUUAGUUCCAUGGCUGCCCCAGUUACUGACUUUGAGAAACUUAUUUGCACUGUAUUAGAAGCUGAACGACCAUAAAUCAGUCAUUUGCAUGGGAAGUCUCUUUUAGAGGCAAAUGAGUCAUUCCUUGAUAAGCAUAAAGAUUCCUUAAUGCAUAGGGUGCCCUAGUUGCAAAUUAUCCAUGGGAUGGAACAGAGGAUAAGAGGUGAUCAUUUGACAUUCCGAUUCAUAUGGUGAAUUCGUGGGCCACUUAUCUUGAUAAUUUGCUUGAUUUCCCAGCCUGCGUGCAGAGCCUAUUGUCACUUUGAUCUGUGUUGUCCUACAUGUUAUUUGCUAGAUGUAUUAGGCAUUACUUUUUCAUUGAUCGGUUGUUCUUUCUCUAUGUUCAUGAGUUAAAUCUCCAGCUAAUAUGUAGAUCAAAGGUCUGCUUUGAUCUCCAGUUUGCAGCGUGUCCCAAACCUUUUAUGUAUUACUCCUAUGUUAAGUUAAGUCAUCCUUUCAUAGUGAUGAAAAAGUUGAAAUCAUUCAGUUUUAAAGGGACAACAGAAUAUAGAAAGGUGCUGCACAUUAAUCGAAGUUUACAUGUGAUCUUUUAUUGGCCUACUUGAAUUGUUGUUUAUAACUUUUCAUAAAUUACUGUAGUAAUUAUACUUUUGCUUUCAUAUCCUAUAUUCUUAAUGACUAUUGGCAAUCCUAAAUUGCAGGAGACAUUACUUUGCCAGCCCUAAUGAUGAAACCUUUCGGUUCAUGGCAAGUAUAUAUAGUCGCUCUCAUCGUAACAUGUCAUUGAGUAAAGAAUUUGAAGGAGGAAUUAUGAAUGGAGCAGCUUGGUAUGACCGUUUUGAGGUAAAUCCAUUGUAGCUCAUAAUAUAGGAAGUGCUGAUCUUUUCAGUGUUUUAAUCUAAUACCUUUGUCAAGUGAACCGCUGGAUUUUGCAAAAGAAAAAUAGUUCACAUUCUAUAAUAUUAAACGCUUAUGAGUAUUAUAGAUUGUGUUCGUGUUGUAUUCUCUUUGAUGAAUGAAAAAAUUUUGUUUAUUAUUGUUG